CCUCCUUAUACGAUUUAGAACUUAUUUGUUCGUAGUGUCCACACAGAUGAUUGUUAGUUAGCUAAGCCACUGGCUUAACUAAUUAAUAUGCUCUUUAAAAAUUUGGAAAAGCUGAUAAUAAAAUUCGUAUGAAUAACAGUGUUAUUUGUACAGAGUUUUCAAAAGUAAAAAAGAAUGAUAGCAGUAUCAUUCAGUGCCAAUUUAAUCAUUUAUGAUUAAUUGGUAUCUACUUUAGUAUUCAAUAUUAACUUCUGGCGAAGUUAAACUGUCACUAACAAAGACCCGUUUGGGUUGUAUGGUUAAGUGACUAAGCGUACACGGUGGAUGC
rnacentral:misc_RNA from 1 species